UCCAGUGACUCAGUGAGCUUGUCGGUGG
rnacentral:piRNA from 1 species